AACGAACGCUGGCGGCAUGCCUAACACAUGCAAGUCGAACGAGACCUUCGUGUCUUGUCGCACACGGGUGCGUAACGCGUGGGAACCUGCCCUUAAGAUCGGAAUAACUAGCCGAAAGCGAUGCUUAUACCGGAAUACUACUACGGAACAAAGAUUUAUUGCAGAUUGAUGGGCGUGCGUUAGAUUAGCUAGUUGGGAGAGUAAAUUCCUACCAAGGGGACGGUCCAUAGCUGGUCUGAGAGAAUGACCAGCAAGACUUGGACUGAGUCACGGGACAGACUCGUGCGGGAGGAAGCAGUGGGAAUUGUUGAAGGAUGGGGGGUAGGCUGCUGCAGCUAUGUCGGGUGAAUGAUGUAUGCCGUAAGGUAGUAAAGCUCUUUUAGCCAAGAUGAUAAUGACAGUACCGGGAGAAUAAGCUCCGGCUAACUACGUG
rnacentral:rRNA from 1 species